CAAGCACUGAUUCCUGAAGAGCUGAUUAUAGCUGAUCAGCAACACCUGUGACACCUGCAGGAUGGGUAUAUGAAACCUGCCGUGUGGCUCAGAUCGUAUUUUCUGUUGGUGGCUGAAGUAAUGGGAGCGUUUUGGGCCUUGCUUGUUUUUGUGCUGACUGUCUGGUUCACCAAAGGCUCUGGUUGGCCAGUUGGUGGCACAAAUGUGAAUGGUAAUGGGCCGCAAAGGGCAAUGAGAGAGCUGUCUCCUAAUGAGCCCUCCAUAAAGAAGGCCCUUACGCUUCACCAGUCUGAGUCUGUGUUCCUGCGGAAGUCAAAAGAAGUCCAACUGGAAACUAACGAAGUGGAGGUUAAGGCAUCAGCUGCCUACCUGAAAGCUGUUGAACAUGCGCAUAACGACGGCGUUCCCAUCGGCGCCACGCUGGGCGACUACGGCGGCGCCCUGCUCAACGGCUCGCUGGGCGACUACGGCGGCUACGGCGGCGCCCUGCUCAACGGCUCGCUGGGCGACUACGGCGGCGGCUACGGCGACGCCCUGCUCAACGGCUCGCUGGGCGACUACGGCGGCGGCUACGGCGACGCCCUGCUCAACGGCUCGCUGGGCGACUACGGCGGCGGCUACGGCGACGCCCUGCUCAACGGCUCGCUGGGCGACUACGGCGGCGGCUACGGCGACGCUCUGCUCAACGGCUCGCUGGGCGACUACGGCGGCGGCUACGGCGACGCCCUGCUCAACGGCUCGCUGGGCGACUACGGCGGCGGAUACGGCGACGCCCUGCUCAACGGCUCGCUGGGCGACUACGGCGGCGGCUACGGCGACGCCCUGCUCAACGGCUCGCUGGGCGACUACGGCGGCGGCUACGGCGACGCCCUGCUCAACGGCUCGCUGGGCGACUACGGCGGUGGCUACGGCGACGCCCUGCUCAACGGCACACUGGCCGACUACAGCGGCUACGGCGGCUACGGCGACGCCCUUCUCAACGGCUCGCUGGGCGACUACAGCGGCGCCCUGCUCAACGGCUCGCUGGGCGACUACGGCGGCGCCCUGCUCAACGGCACGCUGGGCGACUCUUUUACUCCAACGAUACCAAACUAAUAAGUUGGGUGGACCUUUUGGGGCACAUUGCUUUAGUUUGUCGUGUAACUUAAGGAUGUUUCUGCUUGUACCGCUGCUUUAAAUAAAAUGUUUGCCUCAACUUUUGGUGAAGAAGCUGAAUUAGUGACUUUCAUUCAUUUGUAAUACUCGUUUGAGGGGUACAAUUUUCUAUUCAAAUACUUUCUCCACAAAGUUCAGGUUUAACGUAAUUUCCAGUUAAAUAUUUUAUCCAAGUCAUGCCUUGAAUAUUGUAUAAUUUCUGUUUGGCUGCAUGGUCUAUCCCGCAAACAUUUGUUGCUGCGCUAGCAUCCUGUUAAGGCUAGUGCAUAGCCAGGGUCAAGUACUCUUCACAGGAAGUCAUGUGAUGACAUUCUGUGACCGUUCUCUUUUGUGAGGUUUGUCAGCGCUUUGUGUACAUGGAGCCUAAACCUGAAUGCUACACGAUACCAUAUUUUGAGGAAGUAUUUUCUAUAUUUUGAAUACAAAAUGGCACAAGUAUUUUGUAUUCGUUGUUAAUUGAAGGGUAUUUUGUAACUUAUAUUUUGAUGUGUUUUUGCCUAUCCCUGCAUAUAACCCAACCAAAAAGUAAAGCAUGCAGGGAAGUUUGUCGUAGAUUUGCCUAAAUAAAGCACCAGGUUGACUGGAUUUUUUUUAAACAAUUGUAGAUUUUUGAGGUUUACUUAGAGUAAUAUCUAAUGCACUUGUGCAAAGAAGACAUGCAGAAAAGAUUUUAGAUAUUUGGGAUUUUGGUCUAAAAGCAACCCUGUUUCAGCUUUUACUUAAUGUAACUUUGUCAGAUUCUGUUUCUUCGAGAUCUCUACCAUCUUUAAAGAACAUAUCCCAUGAUGGUUUCUCCUGUGUCAUGCAUGCUCUGUCGUUCACACUUUCUUUCCGAAUCAGAUGUAUGUAACUGCAGUUGUAAGGUUCAAUAACCUUCAGUGUCCAUUCUGCAUGUUUCUAAGUCGCUCAAAUUUAUAAAGCUUGAGCCCCCUGGGGCUAAGAAAGUCCACAGAGAGGGAGAGAGAGGGAGACAUUAUCUGUGCAAUUUCAAGCUGUGUCCAUCAUGUGGCAGUGUGCAGCUUCUUAGGCGCUACUGUCACAAUGGAACAGAGCCAGUCAAAGUCAGCCUAAUCCCCCACACACACACGCACAGACACUCCAUGUCUGGUUUUUAUCUCUGUGUGCAGCUUGGAGCUUACAG
ensembl:lncRNA